rnacentral:rRNA from 1 species
UACGUAGGGUGCGAGCGUUGUCCGGAUUUAUUGGGCGUAAAGAGCUCGUAGGCGGCUUGUCGCGUCGGAUGUGAAAGCCCGGGGCUUAACUCCGGGUCUGCAUUCGAUACGGGCAGGCUAGAGUGUGGUAGGGGAGAUCGGAAUUCCUGGUGUAGCGGUGAAAUGCGCAGAUAUCAGGAGGAACACCGGUGGCGAAGGCGGAUCUCUGGGCCAUUACUGACGCUGAGGAGCGAAAGCGUGGGGAGCGAGCAGG